GACGUAGGGCGCGAGCGUUGUCCGGAUUUAUUGGGCGUAAAGAGCUCGUAGGCGGCUUGUCGCGUCGAAUGUGAAAACUCGGGGCUCAACUCCGAGCUUGCAUUCGAUACGGGCAGGCUAGAGUUCGGUAGGGGAGACUGGAAUUCCUGGUGUAGCGGUGAAAUGCGCAGAUAUCAGGAGGAACACCGGUGGCGAAGGCGGGUCACUGGACCGGAACUGACGCUGAGGCGCGAAAGCGUGGGGAGCAAACGGG
rnacentral:rRNA from 1 species